rnacentral:rRNA from 1 species
GAUGAACGCUGGCGGCGUGCUUAACACAUGCAAGUCGAACGAAGCACUUUUAAUUCUUCGGAAGAGAAAGUGACUGAGUGGCGGACGGGUGAGUAACGCGUGGGUAACCUGCCUUAUACAGGGGGAUAACAGUUAGAAAUGACUGCUAAUACCGCAUAAGCCGAUAGAGUCGCAUGACUUAGUCGGAAAAGAUUUAUCGGUAUAAGAUGGACCCGCGUCUGAUUAGCUAGUUGGUGAGGUAAUGGCCCACCAAGGCGACGAUCAGUAGCCGGCUUGAGAGAGUGAACGGCCACAUUGGGACUGAGACACGGCGCAAACUCCUACGGGAGGCAGCAGUGGGGAAUAUUGCACAAUGGGGGAAACCCUGAUGCAGCAACGCCGCGUGAAGGAAGAAGUAUUUCGGUAUGUAAACUUCUAUCAGCAGGGAAGAAAAUGACGGUACCUGACUAAGAAGCCCCGGCUAACUACGUGCCAGCAGCCGCAGUAA